GUAAGCAUACUACAGCUUUUCCCCUCAAAAGACAUAACAUGCAAGAUUGGUUACUAGUUGAUUGCUAUAUAUGGCUUCUCUCAUGAAUGCCUUAAGAAACAGAUGACAAAUUUGUUAUUGGUAACAUUGUUGAUGCUGAUAUUUGCCAUGCGCAAGGUAUUGUUUUUGAUGUUUGUGUAUAACAGGGACUCUUAUCAAGGCUGUAAAUUUACCAUACAACACUUUAAAGGUCUCUUUUUAUUUCAGUGAAGGAUGAAUAGAUCUCCAUUCCAUGUCCAUUUGAAUAUAUCUUCCACUUCUAGAAAUCAUUAAUUAUACCAGAAGUUUUAUUUCAUGACAUUCAUGGCUCAUGCAAUGCAUCUUCAUAAAUUGAAAUGACAUUCAAGUAUUCAACCAUAAAUUUUAACAUCACAGACCCAUUUUCUUAUCUUCGCCAGAUGUGGUUGCCUUUCUCAUGAGUGGGGAAGCUAAUAGUUAUUGUUACUUCAGUCAUUGAGCACAUGAGCUAAUAUUCCAUGUAUGAAUUUCAAAACAGAUAACCUAUAUAUUGCAACUGUCUGGGUAGAGUAAUGUGAUAUUCAAGCAGUUUUCUCUGGGCAUGCACUCGCUGUAUCAAAAUUUUAAUGGUCAUUCAAGUGUGUCUCUAUCUUUUAGCUUGUUCAACUCCUAAAUCUUAAUGAUAGAUUAGUUUGCUGUGCAAAGAAAGGAAGAGGAAAGAUACACCAGUGUUUUACCAAUGGCUUAAGGGUGAAUAAAUCUGGUCAUAUGCUAGACAUGAAUGGACUAAAGAUCUCGGAGUGUGAGGAUAGACAGUAACUUGUUAUUAGUUACCCAUUGUUGGUGCGGGAAUACCCUCCCUGAGUUCCCAUUUUAUGAAUGGAACAAAUAAUAGGAACAUAACUAAUAUAUUGUCAGAAAGGAGAUGCAACCAAAACUUAAAUAACAGUAAUCUAGCAUGAUUUCAACACAUCAUCAUCAUCUCACGUGCUUAUUUUUCUGUAUAUCUUGGAGGUGAGAAGACUGCAACUGAAAAUUGUAGGACAGUAGAAGGAUGUUUCACCAGGAGUAUGUUUUUGAGGAUUAUUUGUUGACAGUAUGAUAAGGGAAAUAUAAAUGAGAUUUGUGGAUGGGUAGUUAACUGGGUAAUAGAACCAUAAAGGAUUUUGUCAAUCUGGAUCUUCAUUAGCAGUGAAUACCAUAGAGACAAUUGUUUGAUGUGGCAUGCCUCUCUGUCCAUGAUAACAAGCAGUUUUUUUCUAAGACGUGGAUUUGUUUUUUGCAACAGAUAAAUUAGCAAACUAUACAUUUAAGGUUUGCCAUCUGUUUUCCAUCACCAUUUGUGGGAUGUUUGAAUGUGUGUACAUAUCAUACUGGCUAUGUAUAGAUAUCAUGCAAAUAUGUGUUGAGCUUGUUGUAAGCAUGGAUGCAUCUUCUGUAGUUGGACCACAAGGAUUCUGAGUUCAUGCAAAAUAUUUUGUGCAGAUUGGUCCUUUUCCGGGCUCCUAUAGUGAAAAGACAAGGAUUAAACUGAAAGUCCAAUUAAACCUUCAUGGCAUU
rnacentral:misc_RNA from 1 species